ACGCUCGACACCUACGGGAGGCAGCAGUAGGGAAUCUUCCACAAUGGACGCAAGUCUGAUGGAGCAACGCCGCGUGAGUGAAGAAGGUCUUCGGAUCGUAAAACUCUGUUGUUAGAGAAGAACACGAGUGAGAGUAACUGUUCAUUCGAUGACGGUAUCUAACCAGCAAGUCACGGCUAACUACGUGCCAUCAGCCGCGGUAAUCUGAGCGGGCUGGCAAGGC
rnacentral:rRNA from 1 species